rnacentral:pre_miRNA from 13 species
AGCUGAGCACACAGUUCUUCACUGGCAGCCUUAAGGUUUCUGUAGACAGGCUAAACCUGCCAGCUGAAGAACUGCUCUGGCCAGCU